rnacentral:rRNA from 1 species
UACAGAGGUCCCGAGCGUUGUUCGGAUUCACUGGGCGUAAAGGGUGCGCAGGUGGCGUGGUAAGUUUGAUGUGAAAGCCCCGGGCUUAACCCGGGAACGGCAUUGAAUACUACCAGGCUUGAGGGUUGGAGGGGGGACUGGAAUUCUUGGUGUAGCAGUGAAAUGCGUAGAUAUCAAGAGGAACACCAGUGGCGAAGGCGAGUCCCUGGACAAUACCUGACACUGAGGCACGAAAGCCGGGGGAGCAAACAGG